UGAAGAAAUGUGCCACAUACAUGGCAAAUUCUGUGACAGAUAAUGUGUGCGCCGCCCACAGAAACUUCCUAUCUUUACACAAGAAAGAUAGCUCCUUCCUGGAAAGGGCAAUAGAUGGUUUUGACACACAGGUGUCACCACACCUGUCAAUCGAUUCCGCUUCAAUGAUCACGCUGUUUAACUGAUAACGGCUUUUUCUGACAGUUGAGCAAGCACUAUAUAGAGGUUUAUGCGCGACCUUUUUUGUGGUGUUUGCUUCAGUACGCUUGCAAUUUCUACAGUGUGCAUCCCAAAACCGCCCUCUCAUUUCUAACACACUGUAGUGAUGCUCCUGAUGCCCAUCAUUAAGACAUUGUCCACUCUGGCCAAUGUAGUUGGACGCACAAGUGAAAGGCACAUUGCAAACGACUCCUUCCACGCAGUCAACAAACUUUGACUGAUGUCUCUUUUUACAUGCAAGCUCUUUGGGGGCACACGAACUGGUCACUCUGCACAAAUAUUGCAGUUUUUCAGGAGCAGGUAACUUCAAUCAAUGUAAAACCGAUGCAACCAAUGUAAAAGUGUUAUUUUCCACUCCUGGUAAAUUGCAAUCUUUGUGAAGAUUGACCAGUGCAUCAUCAUCAUCAUUACCAGCCUAUGUUUAUGUCCAUUGCAGGACUAUGAUCUCCAAUUACCCCUGUCCUGUGCCAACUAAUUACAACUUGCACCUGCAACUUUCCUAAUUUCGUCACACCACAUAGUUUUUUGCUAUCCUUGGCUUCGCUUCCCUUCUCUUGGCACCCAUUCUCUAACCCUUUCUGUAACUAAUAUCUGUGCACAGGAAGGCAAGAAUUUAGGUCUGAAAUUUAGCGUUAAAAAAUCAGGUGUUAUGGUAUUCAAUGAAAACAGUGAACAGACUGUCAAUAUAGGGCCAGGAAAUACCUCAGGUAAAAGAAUAUAAAUACCUUAAUAUAUGCAUAAACAAAGACAAAAUAUUUAUGGAAACACAGGGAAAAAAAAACAUAACAGCAAAGGGUAAGAAAAAUGCGGCCAUAAUGAAACACAAAGAGUGCUAUGGGGAUACAAUAUAGGUGCGAGGUGCUCUGGGGUAUGUGGAAAGGUGUAAUGGUUCCAGUACUUGCAUUUGGAAAUGCGGUUGUUUGCUUGAAGUCGGGGGUACAAUCAGGACUCGAUGGCAACCAAAGGUCACUGGGAUGCCUCGCAUUGGGUGCUCACGGGAAGACUACAAAUGAAGCUCUGCAAGGUGAUAUGGGCUGGACAAGUUUUGAAGUGAGGGAAGCUCACAGUAAAAUUGAUAUUGAAGAACGACUGAGGAAUAUGAAAGAAAGCAAAUGGGUUGCGAGAGUGUUCAGAUAUUUGUAUGGGAAAAACACUGAUUCACAGUGGAGGAAAGAACUAGGAAGCUUGCCAGCAAGUAUGCGACUGGUAUGGUGAGAGAAACAUGGCAACAAAGAAUGUCAAGUGGAAAGUCAGAGGGGCUGAGAAGAUUUAAUGGGUGGUGGCAAUGGAAAAGAAACCUAUGAGUAACUACUUAAGAGGAAAAAAACAAAAUCAAGAAAGAAACAAUGAUAACUCAAAGGGAAGCCCAUUACUUUUUGAAGCGAGAUUACGAUGCCUUGGAACAUGCACUUAUAAAGCGAUACAACAAGGAAGAAGAAGAAUGUGCUUGCUGCGGUAACACAAGGAAAACGAUGGAGCAUGGAGUUUUAUUAGAAUGUGAAGAUAUCUGCCCAGCAGUCGAUUUAGGCACCUCUGGCCUCCUUGAAGCCCUUGGGAUCAGCGGGAGCAGGGGGAAAGUAAACAUGUCCGCAAUAGACAUUAGUAAGAGAUGAUUGGAAGAUUGGUGAAAGAAUAGUACGCAAACGACAAACAAACAGAGGCGUACAAGAACAAAGUUUUCGAUAGGGGUUCUGAAAGUUUGGUGAUGAGAAUUCUUAGUUGUUUUUUUUUUCUUUUCUUUUUUUCUUUUUUUGACAUUGGUAGCUGUGGAUGUCUAGAAGUACUACAGUAAGCCCUGCUAACGUUACGCUAAAAGUUGGCUAAUGGACACUUUGACAAGUACUGAAGACUUUUAUUAGACAUUCCCUCAAAUUUUGGUGGCAACAACUUGAGGUUCGCCCACAGUUAAAAUUUAUUUUAAAUUAGGUACGGACAUCAUAAAAAAGGAAGAGUUUAUAUAGUCGGAUGAACAGGUAGUUUUUCCAGAUGUGAACCAUGGGAAUAGUGUAGUACAGCCUGAUUGGUCGAAUAGUGCAUUUUGCUUAGACCAAUCAAUUGGAUGCCACCUGUCACAAUUAUUUCGUAAAUAAAACAAGAGCUGUAUGGUAUACUGAUGUCGUGGCAAUGUGCCUCCAUUGACUGAAGCAAGGAUACCACCUCUGCAUGAAACACAUCAUUGUUGACAAAACUUUGCUCUGCUGGAUCCCCAGCAAACUGAAGUAGUUUCUAGCAAGGAAACAUUUUGUCAGUGAUGCUGUGGUUGAGGCAGAAAUGACAUCCUGGUGUCAGUUACAGGCGGCAGGAUAGAACGACACCAGUAUAUGAAGCAGAACGCUGUGCUACAAUGAAUUGUUAAAAAAAUAAAGGAUAGUUCACAUCUUGAAAAACACACUCUGCACCACUCUAUCCAGCGAUAUAUAUAUAUUUUUUUCUGAUGUCCGUGCCUCAUUUAAAAAUAGAUUGUAACUUACUUUGUGUGUUCCCCUUGUAUAUAAACUAUCACCAUAUGCUUGCAUAGCAUCAUGCAGAAAUAAUGGCCAGUUUUUCAGCAUACCACCCACUAGCGUAUUCCUUGUACAUUGCAUGUUACCGGAACUGAAAGAUAAAUCACAAUAUGCUGUAUUUUUUUUUCUUUUUUCCAUACGCUCUACAUUUAGUGCAGUCCAUAAAACAUGAUUGCAAGCUAAAAUGCAGCAGUACAUAUACUUAAUUCACACCAUGUGACAUAAUUAAACUUUAUUACCUAAUACAUUAGAAAAGAUGCAGGACCCGCAAUUAAGAAAAGUGACAGAUAGCAGCAAAGGUGGCCAUCCAUGGAGCUUGAAGAUGAUUGCCGCUGCAGCUAGAGCAGGCCAGCUUUUGUAGGAGAGCACUGGCUGCCCACAAAAAGUUGCUGUCAGAGGCCACAUGUGAAGGCUCUUGUAGACACAGGCAAGCAAGAUCUGCACAGAAGAGGAAAAAAAUGCAAGUGAGGAAACUAUAAUGUGCACAUUGGAACUUCAAUUAGCAAUAUAUAGGCCGUGUCUGCUGUGCCCGGGGCACAGCAGACGAAAGGUGCCCGAAAUGUCUACGUUCACCCAUGACGUCACGUCCGCUAUAACCCAUGAUGUCACAUCCGCUCAUUUCCAUGGCGGCCGUCUUAUGGGCCGGCUGCGCUGCGAAACGGUCCGUAUUCCGUGCCCACUUAGAGCACUGAACAUCCCACGUCUUGGUUUGACUUCCUGGUACAGGAUACUUGCACUUAGCAUGGAGUGAUGAAGCAGAGCAGUGUACUUUUAUUAAAUGUGCAGAUUUUAGCAGUAUAACAGCCGUUCAUUAAAGAAACGUGUGCUGAAAAUAAAGUGUACUUACCCACA